AGCUGGCUGAACCUGGGCCAAAUUGUUAUCAUAUUCUGACAUUUGGUCCCCUUCAACCAGCUGU
rnacentral:pre_miRNA from 1 species